UUGACCAAGGCGGCCACCAAGCGCUCUUCCUCCACAACGUCCAGGUUCGCAUCCUUGAAGGUCUGCAAACGGCGAUGAUCAGCACGACGACGCCAGAAGCAUAAACUUCGCGAUGCCUGCAGCGACUACCGCAACGCUGAUGCUAUCGGCAUUGGAGAUUUCACCGCAAGCAGAAGCAGACGAGCCUUCCGAUGUUCUGUGCUCACACCUUCCGCGGAUUCAUGGCCUACCGACGUUUCGCAGGAGCAGCCCAGCCAUCUGGUUUCGUCAGCUCGAGAAUCACUUUUACGUCAACAAUAUGGUUCACCAUCUGCCUCCACUGCAGAUUGCUGGCACCGUGGCACCUACGGAGCAUGCGCCAUUGUUACGCCGAUACCCCAAACCGGAUUGACGUCUCGCCUACCUUGGCUUCACCUCACCGGAGGAACUUAUACG